GCUGGGCUUGGUGGUGCAUGCCUAUAAUCCCAGCAACUUGGGAGGCUGAGGCAGGAGGAUCGCAAAUCUGAGACCAGCCUCAG
rnacentral:sRNA from 1 species